ensembl:lncRNA
GGAGGAAGCUUUGCUGAACUUGUUAACCCCACCAGGGGAAAGGGGAGGGAAGGAAUCCUUCCACAAUAAAGUGAUAAAACCUCAAUGUCAGCCAAAGUAAUCCGGGGGAUGAGACGGGCAGCGAAGAGGAGUCCUACUGCCGAUAUAUGUGAACGUCCAAACAAACCCGAUGAGAAAAUCCCGGAGGCCACAACGUCCUAUGAAAACCCUGAGAGAACGCCAGAGGCAGACCCAAACAUUGAUAAAUGCUUCCACCGCUGGUUGCGAAAAUCUCAAACAAUGGCAGCGAGGCUUGUACAGCAAAACCUACGGCUACGCAAUAGGUUGCGUGUAAACCGAUGGCUGACGUCUCGCACGCGACGUCCUUGUUUUUUUACAGUCUGAUAAGUCGCGUGCUACUCAUUGUGUAUUCCAGUGCUGCAGAUCGAGGGAGGGAAGGGGAAGGGGGGGUGGUCCAUAGCAGCAUGUUAGCAUGUUUGCGAGCAGCAGCAGCAGCAGCUGGAGCUGUGAGGCAGUAAAUGAUUCAUAUUGAACCGGCAGUCACGUUCACCCUCCUGGUGCUCUUAAAGCAGCAGCUGGUGAGUGUCCCCUUGCUCAAGGUCCGGGCUCCCAGUGCUGCUAUAACACCUCCGGGCUAGUACGUCUGGACGCCUUUGAUUGGACAAGGACUUUUGCCGGCGCCGUGCUUCUAUUCAUCCAGUCCCCACUGAAUAGUGCCCGUCAAGCGAUAGAGCAGAUGAAGUGUUUUUGCUGUUACGGUCAAUGAAGAAAAUGACAGUGAAUUUGGAAAUAUGCUGAUGGCUCCACUUGAAAGAGCAAUUCCACAGAAUUUAGAGCAGCCACUGUUUCCAUGUUACCCCCCUCCUGGCUCACUCUGAAGGCGUCCCUGUUAUUGGCACAUCAUCGGGUAGCGAACAAUGUCUAGUCAAUGGGUACCACCAGGUCCAUUUGAGGUUGUUUUAUAGAAGGGAUGAAAAUUAUCUGUGUGAAUUUCUGUUUUCCAUUACCAUGGCAAAUCCUAUAGCAAUUCAGCAUCCUUCCAGUACCAUGAAAGUGCAAUGCAAUGUUGCACAAGAGUUCAUCCAUUGCUGUCAUCAUUGAUACAAUGACCAGCGUUUAAACGUAAUGGGGG